UUAACGGAGAGUUUGAUCCUGGCUCAGGACGAACGCUGGCGGCGUGCCUAAUACAUGCAAGUCGAGCGGACAGAAGGGAGCUUGCUCCCGGACGUUAGCGGCGGACGGGUGAGUAACACGUGGGCAACCUGCCCCUUAGACUGGGAUAACUCCGGGAAACCGGAGCUAAUACCGGAUAAUCCCUUUUUCCACCUGGAGAGAGGGUGAAAGAUGGCUUCGGCUAUCACUAGGGGAUGGGCCCGCGGCGCAUUAGCUAGUUGGUAAGGUAACGGCUUACCAAGGCAACGAUGCGUAGCCGACCUGAGAGGGUGAUC
rnacentral:rRNA from 1 species